UGUUGUCUCUAACAUUUUUCCUUGUGUGGUGUUGAGAGCUUGCUGAGGAUGCUGCCUUCACGCUGCACAAGGAAGGUUUUAUUUCAUCCCUUUGCUUGCAUCUUUCAGGAGGAAACUGCUGGGAGUUUUAAAAGAAAUGUCGACACAAUCCUUCCUUUUGGAAAAUUUCAGCUCCUGGUGGAGGUGUCUGUUUGUCAAGCAGAGUCCUCGAAGGGUUGGGCGGAGGGUGCUGGAGCCACUCCACGCUGUAGCCUGAGGGCUCUGAUUUUGGGCAGAGCCAGGCUGGCAGGGUGCCGAGCUGCGGGGAGGCUCCGUGAGCGCCGCUAUCUCCUGCAGAUCGGGGAUCUGCUCAAGUGUGUCUGCCCUGACGCCAGCCCCUGCUCCAAUGGUGCUUAUGCUUUCUUGCAAGCCAGGCACUUCUGUCCUGGUGCAAGAGCAAGAUGGUCAUGACUGCCAUGAUGGCUGGGCUAUGGAGCCAAGGGGCAGAGAGAGGAAAAGCCCCAUGCUGAGGUUGUGGUGCUCCCAAAAACCAUUGACUGUGGUCAGUGAGAGGGAUGAGAUGUCAACAUCUGGUGAAGCCACUGCCCUGUCCCCAUUUUAUGUGUUUGCCAUCUCCAUCUGCCAUCCUGGUUGCUAGUCCCAGGUUCCUGUGGGGCUGCCACAGCCACCUCCUGUCCCACGGGGUGCACAUGGGUGUCUGCAGACAUUGCUUCCCCAUCCUCCUUCACCAGACCCCCUCAGAUCUGCUUUCGUGAGACUGAAAUGGAUUCUGUCUGGCUCUGAUAGACACUGAGCAUCUGCUGUGCCCAGUGACUCCGAAAAUCGCGCCUCUUUGGAGCCGUGCAUGGAUUUAAGGACUCCACGUGAGGUGACUGAAGGGGUGCUUGUGGCUCGAGCCCACUUUGAGUUGUGCUGCUAAAAGCAGGGGUUAUAUCUGCAUUGGGAAGGGUGUAAAAUUAAUGCAAUGUUUGGAUCAGCUCAUUAACUAACUGUGCUGGUCCAAAUCUUGCCCUUGGAGGCAUGUGUGUUUCUGCCAGAGCCAUCAACAUAAAGCCUCUCUGCAGCACAGCCGGGGAUAGGAUUUGGCCUGUUUAUAUUCACGGUGCAAAAAGGACCGAAGGAUUAAUGACUGAUUACUUCUCGGGCCAGCGGGAGCCCUGGGUACCCAUCCAGUCUGCAGAUAAAAUGCAGGGCAGACCAAGACAAAGCUUUGCAACAGAAUCCUCCCAAUUACCUCACCGAUCUCCCCGCGCGCCGUAAAAUGCACCGUCAGCUCUGCAGCCGCCUCAGCCCGGGGACCAAACCCCUCCCGACCCUGCUCCGAGCCCCUCUGCGGGGCUUCAGGGAGGAAAACCAUCCUCCCUCCGCCUCGCCCCUCUCCCUGACCUGGGCAUCGUUUGGAGGUGGUUUGGUGAAGCCUUGGCUGGUCCCUACCUGUCUGUGCAUGUGU
rnacentral:lncRNA from 1 species